UACGGAGGGGGCUAGCGUUGUUCGGAAUCAUUGGGCGUAAAGGGCGCGUAGGCGGCCGAUCAAGUCGGAGGUGAAAUCCCUCGGCUCAACUGAGGAAUUGCCUUCGAUACUGUUCGGCUUGAGUCCUGGAGAGGGUAGCGGAAUUCCCGGUGUAGCGGUGAAAUGCGCAGAUAUCAGGAGGAACACCAAUGGCGAAGGCAGCUCGCUGGGACGUGACUGACGCUGAGACGCGAAAGCGUGGGGAGCAAACAGG
rnacentral:rRNA from 1 species